CACGUAGGCACCAAGCGUUAUCCGGAUUUAUUGGGCGUAAAGAGCUCGUAGGCGGUUUGUCGCGUCGAAUGUGAAAACCCGGGGCUCAACUCCGGGCCUGCAUUCGAUACGGGCAGACUAGAGUUCGGUAGGGGAGACUGGAAUUCCUGGUGUAGCGGUGAAAUGCGCAGAUAUCAGGAGGAACACCGGUGGCGAAGGCGGGUCUCUGGGCCGAUACUGACGCUGAGGAGCGAAAGCGUGGGGAGCGAACAGG
rnacentral:rRNA from 1 species